AACGCAGCGAAGGGCGAUAAGUAAUGUGAAUUGCAGAAUUCAGUGAAUCAUCGAAUCUUUGAACGCACAUUGCGCCCCUUGGUAUUCCGAGGGGCAUGCCUGUUCGAGCGUCAUUUCAACCCUCAAGCACAGCUUGGCCUUGGGCCUCGCCGCUAACCCGGCCGGCCCCGAAAUACAGUGGCGGUCUCGCCGCAGCCUCUCUUGCGCAGUAGUUUGCACACUCGCAUCGGGAGCGCGGCGCGUCCACGUCCGUAAAACACCCAACUUCUGAAAUGUUGACCUCGGAUCAGGUAGGAAUACCCGCUGAACUUAA
rnacentral:rRNA from 1 species